rnacentral:rRNA from 1 species
GGACCCGCACAAGCGGUGGAGCAUGUGGUUUAAUUCGAUGCAACGCGAAGAACCUUACCAAGAAUUGACAUGCUGCGAACGUUUACGAAAGUAAAAAGUCUAUUAACUUAGUUAAUAGCGCAGACACAGGUGGUGCAUGGUUGUCGUCAGCUCGUGCCGUGAGGUGUUAGGUUAAGUCCUGCAACGAGCGCAACCCUUGUCUUUAGUUAUAUUCUAGAGAAACUGCCGGUGAUAAACCGGAGGAAGGUGAGGAUGACGUCAAAUCAGCAUGCCCCUUACAUCUUGGGCGACUCACGUGCUACAAUGGUCGGGACAAAGAGAUGCUACCCUGCGAAGGCAAGCUAACCUCAAAAACCCGAUCUCAGUUCGGAUUGCAGGCUGCAACUCGCCUGCAUGAAGUUGGAAUCGCUAGUAAUCGCAGGUC